rnacentral:rRNA from 1 species
UACGUAGGGUGCGAGCGUUGUCCGGAAUUACUGGGCGUAAAGAGCUCGUAGGUGGUUUGUCGCGUUGUUCGUGAAAUCCCACGGCUUAACUGUGGGCGUGCGGGCGAUACGGGCAGACUGGAGUACUGCAGGGGAGACUGGAAUUCCUGGUGUAGCGGUGGAAUGCGCAGAUAUCAGGAGGAACACCGAUGGCGAAGGCAGGUCUCUGGGCCACUACUGCGCUGAGAAGCGAAAGCAUGGGGAGCGAACAGG